CCUACGCUUGCACGUGUCACCAUUUCCACCUUGGUUUGAUCCUGGACUCAGGACGAACGUUGACGGUGUGCCUAAUACAUGCAAGUCGAACGUGCAAUACUGGAGUAGCAAUACUUUUGUAAAGCAAGUGGCGAACGGGUGAGUAACGCGUGGGUAAUCUGCCCAGAAGAUUGGGAUAACUUCUUGAAAGGGAAGCUAAUACCAAAUAUUCUAUAUUAUUUUAGUAAUGAUAUAGCAAAGGUAGCCGCAAGGCUUCUGCUUUUGGAUGAGCCCGCGUCCUAUUAGCUAGUUGGUAGGAUAAAAGCCUACCAAGGCUAUGAUGGGUAGCCGGCCUGAGAGGGCGAUCGGCCACACUGGGACUGAGAUACGGCCCAGACUCCUACGGGAGGCAGCAGUAGGGAAUAUUGCGCAAUGAGCGAAAGCUUGACGCAGCAACACCGUGUGUAGGAUGAAGGUCUUCGGAUCGUAAACUACUGUCGGUUGAGGACGAAGGUAGUAAAGUUAAUAGCUUGAAUACUGACGGUACUCAAUGAGGAAGUCUCGGCUAACUCCGUGCCAGCAGCCGCGGUAAGACGGAGGAGGCUAACGUUGUCCGGAAUUAUUGGGCGUAAAGAGCACGUAGGCGGUUCUAUAAGUCGUGUGUGAAAACUUUGGGCUUAACUCAAAGAUUGCAUUCGAUACUGUGGAGCUUGAGUACAGUAGAGGAAAGUGGAAUUCCUGGUGUAGCGGUGAAAUGCGCAGAUAUCAGGAAGAACACCAGUGGCGAAGGCGGCUUUCUGGACUGUUACUGACGCUGAGGUGCGAAAGCUAGGGGAGCGAACAGGAUUAGAUACCCUGGUAGUCCUAGCUGUAAACGAUGGAUACUAGGUGUGGGAAGUUAUCGAUGCUUUCUGUGCCGAAGCUAACGCAUUAAGUAUCCCGCCUGGGGAGUACGGCCGCAAGGCUAAAACUCAAAGGAAUUGACGGGGGCCCGCACAAGCGGCGGAGCAUGUGGCUUAAUUCGACGCAACGCGAAGAACCUUACCAAGGCUUGACAUCGUAUUGACAAAUGCAGAAAUGUAUCUCCUUCGGGCAAUAUGACAGGUGGUGCAUGGCUGUCGUCAGCUCGUGUCGUGAGAUGUUGGGUUAAGUCCCGCAACGAGCGCAACCCUUUUCCCAUGUUGCCAGCAAUUCGGUUGGGCACUCUUGGGAUACUGCCGGUGUAAAACUGGAGGAAGGUGGGGAUGACGUCAAGUCAUCAUGCCCUUUAUGCCUUGGGCUGCACACGUGCUACAAUGGUUUGAACAAAGAGAAGCGAUACCGCGAGGUGGAGCGAAUCUCAUAAAUCAAAUCUAAGUCCGGAUUGGAGGCUGCAACUCGCCUUCAUGAAGUCGGAGUCGCUAGUAAUCGUGGAUCAGAACGCCACGGUGAAUACGUUCCCGGGCCUUGUACACACCGCCCGUCACACCACGAAAAUCGGAUACACCCGAAGCCAGUGUGCUAACUGUUUACAGAGGCAGCUGUCGAAGGUGGAGCCGGUGAUUGGGGGGAAGUCGUAUCCAGGCAGCAAACAAGUACGAAUAGGCGUCCGCUACAUC
rnacentral:rRNA from 1 species